GACGAACGCUGGCGGCGCGCUUAACACAUGCAAGUCGAGCGAAGCGGCGGACGGGUGAGUAACCCGUGAGUAACCUGCCUUAGACAUUGGGAUAGCCUCGGGAAACCGGGAUUAAUACCAAAUGGUCUAAGAUGGACUCGCGUCCCAUUAGCUAGUGGGUGAGGUAACGGCCCACCAUGGCGACGAUGGGUAGCCGGCCGGAGAGGGGGAGCGGCGACAUUGGAGCGGAGAAACGGUCCAAAAUAUACGGGAGGGAGCAGUGGGGAAUAUUGCACAAGGGAGGGAACUCUGAUGCAGCGACGCCGGGUGAACGAAGAAGGCGUUGGAGACGUAAAGUUCUUUUAUAUGGGAAGCGGUACCAUAAGAAAAAGCCCCGGCUAACUACGUGCCAGCAGCCGCGGUAAUUC
rnacentral:rRNA from 1 species